UGAGGAAUAUUGGUCAAUGGGGGCAACCCUGAACCAGCCAAGUCGCGUGAAGGAUGAAGGUCUUAUGGAUUGUAAACUUCUUUUAUACAGGAAUAAAUUGGGGGACGUGUCCCCUUUUGCAUGUACUGUAUGAAUAAGGAUCGGCUAACUCCGUGCCAGCAGCCGCGGUAAUACGGAGGAUCCGAGCGUUAUCCGGAUUUAUUGGGUUUAAAGGGUGCGCAGGCGGGAUGUUAAGUCGGCGGUGAAAUUUUGCAGCUAAACUGUAAAAGUGCCUUCGAUACUGGCCUCCUUGAGUGUGGAUGAAGUAGGCGGAAUUUGUGGUGUAGCGGUGAAAUGCUUAGAUAUCACGAGGAACUCCGAUUGCGCAGGCAGCUUACUAAGCCACAACUGACGCUCAUGCACGAA
rnacentral:rRNA from 1 species